rnacentral:rRNA from 1 species
UGCGGGCUUUGCCUGCUAUCUCUUACCCAUGUCUUUUGAGUACUUACGUUUCCUCGGUGGGUUCGCCCGCCGAUUGGACAAUUUAAACCCUUUGCAGUUGCAAUCAGCGUCUGAAAAAAAUUAAUAAUUACAACUUUCAACAACGGAUCUCUUGGUUCUGGCAUCGAUGAAGAACGCAGCGAAAUGCGAUAAGUAGUGUGAAUUGCAGAAUUCAGUGAAUCAUCGAAUCUUUGAACGCACAUUGCGCCCCUUGGUAUUCCAUGGGGCAUGCCUGUUCGAGCGUCAUUUGUACCUUCAAGCUCUGCUUGGUGUUGGGUGUUUGUCUCGCCUUUGCGUGUAGACUCGCCUCAAAACAAUUGGCAGCCGGCGUAUUGAUUUCGGAGCGCAGUACAUCUCGCGCUUUGCACUCAUAACGACGACGUCCAAAAGUACAUUUUUACACUCUUGACCUCGGAUCAG